AGUCACAAAGGGCAGUGUCAUCAAAAGGGAGGAAGCCCAAUGUUUCAGUGACGCCAACCCAGCCCCUGCCACAAGCCCCGACUGGGACAGGUACACAAAGUGUUUGUGGUAAAAUGACGGCAGGCUAUGAUUAAGGGCACAGCAUUUAGUGAAGAGCAGUCCAUUUUGGGGUUGCCAAGAGUCGGACGUGACUUAGCGACUGAAAAACAACAGGCCGUUUGGAGAAUCCAGGCUUUGCUCCAAGAAUCCGGAUGAUGUCCCAGUUUAAAAUGUGGUCAGGCAAUGGAGAAAGAAGGAAGCUUCUGGAGAAUACUGAAGAGACCUGGAAUCUCUUGGUUUCACACAGUCUUUGAAGGCUAGUUACAGUGAGUCCCCUACAUACAAACCUUCAAGUUGUGAACUUACAAAGCUGUGAACAUGUAUUCCAUCAACAUCAGGCAUGAGUGAAAUUAUUUUCCGUCUUUUACUGUUGACAAUCCUUCAGCUCUACCAUCUCCCACCACCACUCCCUCCUCCAGUCAGUAGCUCUUCUUGCUUGUUCACUCGAUGCCAGCUCCUGUAUGCCAGCUGCUGCACUGUACUACUGUACUUUUCAAGAUAUUGGCUGAGUAACUGCCCCUGCUAGGCUUUGGAUACUCAGAGACAAAAGCGACACAGACCUUUUUAUGAAGAAACACUGUCUCAAGGGGGAACACAUUCAAGAAUGUCUUAUGUUCUGCAGCAGCGAGUUUAAAUGCCUUUUGGGAACUUGCCUCCCUGUCCACAGGAUCCUCCAGACAAACCUCCACAGUUGCUUCUUUUCAAGGCCACCACAGUUUCCAUCCUCAGGAUCUAUCCCUGGGAUCUCCUUCUUUCUCUGGCCAGCUUCUUUACCUUGAGCCCACACGCUCAAAUUUUCCUAAGCUGGUUCUAUUUCACCUAUAGGAUUAGAAGAAAGUAUCUUGAGAGGAAUCUACUUGUUUAAUAUAAUAAGGUGAUUGAGUUAUUGACCUUAUUGACUCUACAAGAAUACCUUACAAAUAUUACAUCAUUCCCAGACCAGAAUUCUAGAAUAUACUUCUUUGAAUGAAAACCUUGGUAAUUUAGAGGUAAUUCAUUGCUUCUCUGAGAAGAAUACAACCCAUUGAGCAAAAACCUCAACAUUUAUUUAUGGAUCAGACAGUAAAGAAUUUAAAUCUGCAAUGCAGGAG
ensembl:lncRNA